CCCCUAGAUGUUCUGGGCCGCACGCGCGCUACACUGAACAGUUCAACAAGUCUUAACCUUGGCCGAUAGGUCUGGGUAAUCUUUGAACGCUGUUCGUGAUUGGGAUAGACCUUUGCAAUUAUGGGUCUUCAACGAGGAAUUCCUAGUAAACGCAAUUCAUCAGCUUGCAUUGAUUACGUCCCUGCCCUUUGUACACACCGCCCGUCGCACCUACCGAUUGAAUGGUCCGGUGAAAUCUCGGGACGGCGGCUUGGUCGCUUGCGUCCGACUGCUGAAACUUGAUUAAACCAUAUCAUUUAGAGGAAGGUGAAGUCGUANCA
rnacentral:rRNA from 1 species